AUAGGGGAGCCGGAGGGAAACCGAGUCUUAACCGGGCGUUAAGUUGCAGGGUAUAGACCCGAAACCCGGUGAUCUAGCCAUGGGCAGGUUGAAGGUUGGGUAACACUAACUGGAGGACCGAACCGACUAAUGUUGAAAAAUUAGCGGAUGACCUGUGGCUGGGGGUGAAAGGCCAAUCAAACCGGGAGAUAGCUGGUUCUCCCCGAAAGCUAUUUAGGUAGCGCCUCGUGAAUUCAUCUCCGGGGGUAGAGCACUGUUUCGGCUAGGGGGCCAUCCCGGCUUACCAACCCGAUGCAAACUGCGAAUACCGGAGAAUGUUAUCACGGGAGACACACGGCGGGUGCUAACGUCCGUCGUGAAGAGGGAAACAACCCAGACCGCCAGCUAAGGUCCCAAAGUCAUGGUUAAGUGGGAAACGAUGUGGGAAGGCCCAGACAGCCAGGAUGUUGGCUUAGAAGCAGCCAUCAUUUAAAGAAAGCGUAAUAGCUCACUGGUCGAGUCGGCCUGCGCGGAAGAUGUAACGGGGCUAAACCAUGCAC
rnacentral:rRNA from 2 species